rnacentral:rRNA from 1 species
AUUGAACGCUGGCGGCAUGCCUAACACAUGCAAGUCGAACGAAUGGCGGACGGGUGAGUACUGUCUGAGCAACUGCCUGAUGGACGGGGAUAACUACUGGAACCGGUAGCUACUACCGCUUACGAUCCGAUCUGUCCUGGUGGGUUUAGCUGGUGGCGGGGGUAACGGCUCACCAAGGCGACGCUCCCUAGCUGGUCUGAGAGGAUGACCAGCCACACUGGAACUGAGACACGGUCCAGACUCCUACGGGAGGCAGCAGUGGGGAAUAUUGCACAAUGGGCGCAAGCCUGAUACAGCAAGGCCGCGUGUAUGAAGAAGGUCUUCGGGUUGUAAAGUACUGUCAGCGGGGAGGCGGUACCCGCAGAAGAAGCACCGGCUAACUACGUGCCAGCAGCCGCGGUAAUUC